UUUGUGGGGUGCUCGAGUGGCGAACGGGUGAGUAACACGUGAGUAACCUGCCCUUGACUUUGGGAUAACUUCAGGAAACUGGGGCUAAUACCGGAUAGGAGCUCCUGCUGCAUGGUGGGGGUUGGAAAGUUUCGGCGGUUGGGGAUGGACUCGCGGCUUAUCAGCUUGUUGGUGGGGUAGUGGUUUACCAAGGCUUUGACGGGUAGCCGGCCUGAGAGGGUGACCGGCCACAUUGGGACUGAGAUACGGCCCAG
rnacentral:rRNA from 1 species